rnacentral:rRNA from 1 species
UACGUAGGCAGCGAGCGUUGUUCGGAGUUACUGGGCGUAAAGGGCGCGUAGGCGGCAAUUCAAGUCAUCUGUGAAAUCUUCGGGCUUAACUCGAAACGGUCAGAUGAUACUGUCUUGCUAGAGUGCAGAAGGGGCAAGCGGAAUUCCUGGUGUAGCGGUGAAAUGCGUAGAUAUCAGGAGGAACACCUGUGGUGUAGACAGCUUACUGGACCAUUUCUGACGCUGAGACACGAAAGCGUGGGUAGCAAACAGG